AGGCUAUAAAGCAAACCCGUGGACUACCAGGCACCUUAGUCAAGUAUUACCAAGGCAGUGGAAAACCUCCAUGCUUCUCUCACUGUGUCAUCACCCUGUCCUCCAGAUUUAGUUACUGUCUUGCAUUUUCCCCCAAGGUUAUUAAGGGUGGAAAAUAACCCCAAUCCUUGUUUUGCCAAGAGUACUCUUUAUAUAUUUCCCCAUUGCCUACUGACUGUUGUUUUGAAGUGACUAGAACUAGAUAGAGCUUUAGUCACUUUUUCGUUACUGGUUGAGAUUAACCCGGCACCAGUAUGGAGAUAGGCUCCAAGGUGAUUUGAUAGAAAGCCUGCCUAUCAGUGGAUGUGACUGUUCUGGAUACAACGGUUCCAGUCCGUGACACUGUUCCGAGCUUCCAGGAGGGCUGUCCUUCCUCACUUUACUUUAACCUUGUCUGAAGAACUCCCAGGAAGUUACCAACAGCCCUUCACCAAGUUCAAGAGGCAGACUUAUGAUUACCCUUCUCGAGCUGAAAAACUGAAUAAUGGAAACCUGGCAGUGAAGGGUCAUUCAAGAUUGGUUUCAAGACCUCUGAGGAUGCCAAAAUUCUGCAAUGACCAAGUUCCUGACAAAAAACGAACCCACAAAUACAGAGGGCUGAUUGUACAUAUAAGUUGGGUGCCAUAAUUAUGCCACUUUACAGACGAGAAAACUAAAAGCAGAAAGGGAGCAGUAAACCCAGGAGAUGAAUUCUGGAGAAGCUCUCUGGUUUCAACCUUUAGCCAACAUCACAAUCACCUGAAGGGCUUGUAAUACACUGAUUGCUGGGCCCAGUCCUAGAGUUUCUGAAUCCUAAGGCUGAGCAACACCUAAUUUCCACUUCUGCAAGUUCCCAGUGAAUGCUGUUGCUGCUCGUCUGGAAGCCAGACGUUGAGAACCCCUUCUAGAGUGAGGUCUCCCGCAACAAAUUCUACCGGCCCCCAAAGCACGUGUUUUGUGUGUCUUAAAAAUUUGUUGAGUACCAUUAGCAAAAAACAAACAAAAAAACUUAAUUCCUAGAAUUUCAGAGAAAUCCCAUGGAGUUUUUUGCUAGUCACGUCAAAAGAGGCCACAAAGUGCCGCUUAACCAGAGCUUCGGAAGACAGCGGCUGGGCCGGCCACGUGCACCGAGACUUGGGGCCAGGUGCAGCCGCCCCAGGG